rnacentral:rRNA from 1 species
GACGCUCUCCCCAAGGACGAAGCCAUGCAUGCCCGCUCACCCGGGACGCGGCGGACGGCUCAGGACAACGGUUGCACCCCCCGCGGCGGUCCCUGCUAGCCGGACACCGCUGGCAACCCGGGCGCCAAGACGUGCGCGCAAGGGCGGGCGCCCGCGGGCGAGCAGCGUGACGCAG